rnacentral:rRNA from 1 species
UACGAAGGGGGCUAGCGUUGCUCGGAAUCACUGGGCGUAAAGCGCACGUAGGCGGAUUGCUAAGUCAGGGGUGAAAUCCUGGAGCUCAACUCCAGAACUGCCUUUGAUACUGGCGACCUUGAGUCCGGGAGAGGUGAGUGGAACUGCGAGUGUAGAGGUGAAAUUCGUAGAUAUUCGCAAGAACACCAGUGGCGAAGGCGGCUCUCUGGGACGGUACUGACGCUGAGACGCGAAAGCGUGGGGAGCGAACAGG